CUUCCACGACAAAAAACACAAAAUCCCUAAAUCCCAAAUUCCCAACCCUCCAACCCUCUCCAUCUCAUCGGUCGGUCACAUUUCGGUCGGCGACUACCCACAACAAGCUAGUGUUUCGUCAUGUUUCGCCUGGCCAACUCCUUGACGUAUUCUUAUUGACAAUGAACCACAACUGACGGUGACUUGAAGAGAAAGGAACAAGCGACCAAAGUUCAUUGCAUGGUUGGUUGAAAUAAAAAAGGUAAAUUAACAUUGAUUUUAAAGAGUUGAAGAUAACAAUCAGUGAGACUUUGAGUUUGGAGUUAUCUUAUAGUUAUUUUAAAUGAGGUCGUGGAAUCCAAAUUUAUAUUUGAAGCCAAGUUCAUACGAUAAGGUGAUUGAGUUUCAAGCUUUUUUAAUUAAGUUUGUGUUUAUCUUAAACUAGAAUUGUAAUGACCAACUGUAUGUAUGUUCAAGGAUAUAUAUGCAUUUUGUUAGUUCUUUGAUUGAAAGUUUGGGUUGAUUAUUCAAGAAACAUAAAUAGUUCAAUUGAUGGAAAGCUUAAAUUCUUGCA